rnacentral:rRNA from 1 species
UACGGGGGGGGCAAGCGUUGUUCGGAAUUACUGGGCGUAAAGGGCUUGUAGGUGGCCAACUAAGUCAGGUGUGAAAUUUCGGAGCUUAACUCCGAAACUGCAUUCGAUACUGCCGUGCUUGAGGACUGGAGAGGAGACUGGAAUUUACGGUGUAGCGGUGAAAUGCGUAGAUAUCGUAAGGAAGACCAGUGGCGAAGGCGGGUCUCUGGACAGUUCCUGACGCUGAGGCACGAAGGCCAGGGGAGCAAACGGG